GUGUCAGCCGCCGCGGUAAGACAGAGGGUGCAAACGUUGUUCGGAAUUACUGGGCGUAAAGCGAGUGUAGGCGGUCUCAUAAGUCGGGUGUGAAAGCCCUGGGCUCAACCCAGGAAGUGCACUCGAUACUGCGAGGCUAGAGUAUCGGAGAGGUUGGUGGAAUUCUCGGUGUAGAGGUGAAAUUCGUAGAUAUCGAGAGGAACACCGGUGGCGAAGGCGGCCAACUGGACGAAUACUGACGCUGAGACUCGAAAGCGUGGGGAGCAAACAGGAUUAGAAACCCUGGUAGUCC
rnacentral:rRNA from 1 species